rnacentral:lncRNA from 14 species
UGUUUCACUCCUUCUUGCUGCAUCUAAUGCCUGUUUCCCCUCUCUUCUCCCUGUAAUCCCGACUCGGGCUGUGCCUUCUGCAGCAACAAAGAGAAUGUCAUCAAAACCCUCCUUACGCUGCUGCAGCAGGAGGCUGUGAUGGAUACAGUCACGGCCAGGGAAUGAGCACGGAGCAGUGCCGAGCUCUCUGUGCCAUUAUUGUUCUCUGCUGCAAACUGGAAGCAACUGAGAGAAGGACAACGCAAUCAGCCCAUCUGUAACAACCCCCUGGGACUCAAACCAUCCGUGGUGCAGGAACAACAGCCAGGCCUGGCCGUGUGUUGUGUGAGGACUGACAAAAUCCCUCACCUGAAUUUAGUCUCAGUACCUAGUGCUUCCAUAGUGAUUUCUCAACAGUGAUUGACAUUUAAACUGAGCUUUAAAAACACAAGUGAAGAAAUGAAAGAGGGGAAUAUGUGAACUUGCAGGGGAAAGGGGGGUGUGCUGAAAGGGAAAACAGUGGCUCCCAGGCCAGUCUUGGGAAGUCUGACCCUCGGGGGGGUAGUUAAACAGCUUCUUAAAGGGCUUUACUUGUUAGGGUUUGUUGCAGUGAGGCAGGGCUUCCUCUGCAAGCAGUGAUGUGCUCACAGGUUCCCUCUGAGCCACAUUCAGAGCAGCAGCCUGGUACCUCAGAGCAGAUGCUGCAGGUGAUGACUUUGAAAUGACCAUCAGCAUUUGUAGGGAUCCAGUCCGAAGAGCUCCUGAUGCAGUCCAGCUCUCCUCCUCUGCCUCUCUCCAAAGGAAUGCAGGUCUUGACCACACACACUGUCAGCACAGGACCUCUGCCUUGAACUUUAUGCCUCAGACUUCAGCUUCAUGAACCCCUCCAUGGCCCCUCUGCAGCUGUACUGGGCCACACACAGUUGCAGUUCUCUGCUGGGGGGUGACAGGCAUGGAGGUGGCAGUGGACCUGUGAGCACUUAUUCUCUGCAAAGUCAAACAGGUGAGGGGUAAUCCACUGGUAGCCUAAAUGCUUUUGUUUGGCUUAGCACUAGCCUUGAGCAGGGAAAGUGUGUGCACAGCUGGCA